rnacentral:rRNA from 1 species
GACGAACGCUGGCGGCGUGCUUAACACAUGCAAGUCGAGCGGUAAGGCCCUUUCGGGGGUACACGAGCGGCGAACGGGUGAGUAACACGUGGGUGACCUGCCCUUAGCUCUGGGAUAAGCCUGGGAAACUGGGUCUAAUACCGGAUAUGACUCCAUGACGCAUGUUGUGGGGUGGAAAGCCUUGUGCGGCUAGGGAUGGGCCUGCGGCCUAUCAGCUUGUCGGUGGGGUGAUGGCCUACCAAGGCGACGACGGGUAGCCGGCCUGAGAGGGCGACCGGCCACACUGGGACUGAGACACGGCCCAGACUCCUACGGGAGGCAGCAGUGGGGAAUCUUGCGCAAUGGGCGAAAGCCUGACGCAGCGACGCCGCGUGGGGAUGACGGCCUCGGUU